CAUUCCAUGUUUGUCAGUUUCGGUAGUCGGUGCGGUGGAAGGGUGUUGCGGCUGCGUGACUGUGUGCCGAAGAAUCGUGAAUGUCUCUUGUGCAAUUUGUAUUUGCUUUUAAACUAUCACAACUUAUAUUUUACUAUAUCACUUCAGGUACAAAAUGUCGUUCAAUGACGAUUGUUUAUCCAAGCGGCAGCGUGUGGAUUACAAGCAAGGCCAAGCAUCCGAGGAUUCUGAGUUUUAUCCCGGUGGUGAUGGCCGUAGGAAAAGGCCUGCUCCAGAGAAUCACGUUUUGCUGCUAACAGUUUUCACGCCCGCGUAUCCAAUCACAACGGAUGUGCUCCAUACGAUUUGUCAUCCACAUGGUAAAGUCCACAGAAUCGUUGUAUUCAAGAAAAAUGGCGUUCAAGCAAUGGUCGAGUUUGACAGUAUCGAAUCAGCAAAAAGAGCGAAAGAAGCCCUGGAUGGUGCUGACAUAUACUCCGGCUGCUGUACAUUAAAAAUUGAAUUUGCGAAGCCAACAAAACUAAACGUGUACAAAAAUGACAUGGACAGUUGGGAUUAUACAGAGCCGCCUCGUGGAACAACGAAUACAGUGCCCUCGAGAGGACCUCUUCUUCAAGAACCUCCACAUUUCGGUGCAAGGCCCACGCCUUUCAGGGGAGCGCCCGGUGGACCUGGAGAACUGGCAAGCCCCGCCAUACCAGCUCGUUCCAGGAUCUUUUCAGAGUUCAUUGAUUACAAUGAUGGUUUCAAUGAGUAUGAGUUGUCUGAAAAUUCUAGAAGUUUUGGAAUUUUGGGACGAGGCGAUAGACUCAGGUCUCCUACCUCAAGAGAUGAUAUUCUUCCCAGUAGGUCACCGGCUGCACUUCCAGCAGGCCCUUUCUCCCCGCCAAACGGUGCACCAACGCAAAGUGGUGUUGUAAUGGUUUAUGGAUUAAAUCAAAAGAAAGUCAACUGUGACAAAUUGUUUAAUCUAUUUUGUCUCUAUGGAAAUGUUGGGAAGAUUAAAUUUUUAAAAUCAAAAGAAGGUUGCGCAAUGAUCCAAAUGAGUGAUGCUGUAGCUGUUGAACGGUGUAUCAGGAAUUUACAUAAUGUAAAUUUGCAUGGUAGAGAAAUGCAACUCGGACACUCAAAACAAAUUUAUCUGAGUGACGUUCAGUAUCCAUUCAAUCUUCCUGAUGGUACUCCUUCGUUCAAGAAGUACUUGAAUUCUAGCAAUAAUAGAUUUCUGAACCCCGCGAUGGCUGCCAAGAAUAGAAUUACUCCUCCGUCAAAAAUAUUGCACUUUUUUAAUACUCCAGUAACAAUGGACAGCGAGAGAAUAGCUCAACUAAUCCAAGAAAAAGACGUCAAUCCACCUGUUAAAGCAGUAAUGAUUUCUCCAAAAGGUGACCGAAGUUCUUCAGGUCACAUGGAAUUUGCAAAUAUUCCCGACGCUGUGAAUGCUUUAAUGUGUUGUAAUCAUAUGCCUAUCAGAUCAGAGGGAAGGUUUUUUAUGCUCUCUCAUCUACUCGACAUCUGCAACCGUUCAAAAGUUAUGCCCAAAAGUUGAUUUUUCUCUGACCCCCCGCUCUUCCUCCCUCCAGGGGGCUGGAUCGAAUACUCAGCCAUUUUUGAGCUUCUCUAACUUUCCUCUACAAAACGUGAAGAUUCCAAUUUCCCGUUCACGUUGAAAUUAUGUUUUUCAUCGUCCAAAUCUGUGAAUCUGAACAAGAAAAAUUUCAACAAAGAAGUAAAUUUUGAUUAAAAUGCAAUAUUUUCCUUUUCCAGUCUCCCAUCUUUCCAACUUUUCCUGUUAUGUUUACUUGUUAAUUGUUUCCGAUUGCACUGAAACCAUUCAUUUUGCUGAUUAAAAUGUCAUUCUUUAUUUGUUCCCUAUUUUUUACUUGUCAAUUACCUAGUUUUAGCCCAUAAUGUGUAUUUAUUGUUAUGAAAUCGAUGUAACUAAUGACUCUACACCAAUUCUACAUGUUCAUUAAAUUUAUAGUAUUAGCCCUAGAAUUGAUUUCAUUGUUGAACUUUUGCUUUCUUGAUUUGUUAAAAGCCUAAUUGUAUAAGCAUCCUUCUUUUCGGUGCCCAUUGAUAUGUGCUUGAUUUAGCCCAUUGUUAUGCUCCUCAUAGGACGUGUAAUUUAAUGUGUACAAUAUUUAUUUAAUCAAACUUAUUCCUACUUGUCGAUGACUGAUGGUCAAAUAUUUCUCUCUUACAUGUUCUAAAGUUUGUUCCUUUUCUUUAUGGAAUAACUCAGUUGUGACCCUCCAAUUGUCAGAAUUUACACUUUUAUACUAUGACCUUAUUUUAUUCCUCAAAAAAUCUUAAUCUAGUCUCAACCAAUUAACUUAACGUUGAAGAUAUUGCUCUAAUAUUGACGAUUUUGCCCCAGCAUCCUCCCCCCCCCCUCUAGUUUUGGACCAAACUUUGCUCUAAUGUUGUAUUUAGUGUUCCUAAUGCCUAGGCAAAACUUCAACCAUCUCGGAUAAUUGGGAGGAGGGGGCAAGGAGGUGAAUUUCCCAUUUUUACAACAGUUUUAAAAUGUAUUUCUCCCGAAUAGUUUGAAUGUAAAUGUUGCUGUUUACGCGGAAGAAAAACCUGAAAUAGAAAAAUAUUGUAUAACAUCCAAAGAUUGCAAAAUUCAGUGAAA